UGGGGAAUAUUGCACAAUGGGGGAAACCCUGAUGCAGCGACGCCGCGUGGAGGAAGAAGGUCUUCGGAUUGUAAACUCCUGUUGUUGAGGAAGAUAAUGACGGUACUCAACAAGGAAGUGACGGCUAACUACGUGCCAGCAGCCGCGGUAAAACGUAGGUCACAAGCGUUGUCCGGAAUUACUGGGUGUAAAGGGAGCGCAGGCGGGCGAUCAAGUUGGAAGUGAAAUCCAUAGGCUCAACCCAUGAACUGCUUUCAAAACUGGUCGUCUUGAGUAGUGCAGAGGUAGGCGGAAUUCCCGGUGUAGCGGUGGAAUGCGUAGAUAUCGGGAGGAACACCAGUGGCGAAGGCGGCCUACUGGGCACCAACUGACGCUGAGGCUCGAAAGUGUGGGUAGCAAACAGGAUUAGAUACCCUGGUAGUCCACACCGUAAACGAUGAUUACUAGGUGUUGGGAGAUUGACCCUCUCAGUGCCGCAGUUAACACAAUAAGUAAUCCACCUGGGGAGUACGACCGCAAGGUUGAAACUCAAAGGAAUUGACGGGGGCCCGCACAAGCAGUGGAGUAUGUGGUUUAAUUCGACGCAACGCGAAGAACCUUACCAAGUCUUGACAUCCCUUGACGAUGCUGGAAACAGUAUUUCUCUUCGGAGCAAGGAGACAGGUGGUGCAUGGUUGUCGUCAGCUCGUGUCGUGAGAUGUUGGGUUAAGUCCCGCAACGAGCGCAACCCUUAUGGUCAGUUACUACGCAAGAGGACUCUGGUCAGACUGCCGUUGACAAAACGGAGGAAGGUGGGGAUGACGUCAAAUCAUCAUGCCCUUUAUGACUUGGGCUACACACGUACUACAAUGGCGUUAAACAAAGAGAAGCAAGACCGCGAGGUGGAGCAAAACUCAGAAACAACGUCCCAGUUCGGACUGCAGGCUGCAACUCGCCUGCACGAAGUCGGAAUUGCUAGUAAUCGCAGAUCAGCAUGCUGCGGUGAAUACGUUCCC
rnacentral:rRNA from 1 species